GCUGGAAGGGAAGAGAGCUCUGGGCGAGGACUCCAAGCCUUGGUGGGUUUGUUCAAGGAUUUUUUAUUUAUUUAUUUAUUUUCACUUUUAUUGACUUUGUUUCUGUUAUUUCGAGUCGUCACGAUCCACGGGUGAGGAGACAUGCAGGGAGCAUCGCCGCUACCGAGAGAGCAACUACGGGGAGGGGCAGGGUGGCCCGGCCAGGGCGCACGAGGGCGCGCGGGGCGCAGCAGAGAAGGGCCUGCCCAGAGGCUGGGGCUGCCACCUGUGAUCUUGCCGGCCAGGGCAGAGCAGCCCGGGCAGAGCUGGGGGAGAGAGAGUUGAGAAGCGGAGCAGAGACAGGGAAACAAUCAGAGGUCAAGACGCGGGGAGACGGAGACAGAGGGCGAGAGCAGCGGGGAGGACGGAGGUGAAGGGGGCGGGGGGGGGAGGGAGAUGCCAGGAGGAGAGAGCGAAAACACGAAUUACAGAGAAACAGCCAACAAAACAGAGGCGAGAGGAGUCCACGGGACCAUGUUCGUCAUUUUGCAUAGAGAUUUUUUUCUUUCGUAAUAGUUUCGUAACAUUAAAAAAAAAAAAACGUUGUCCCCCUCCUCCAGGCUUGUGCUGUGCUUCGGCGGGCGGCCCCCUCCCCCGCGAGCGGCGACUCUCACAGCACACGCGGCGGGGAGGAUCUACAGGCAGGGCCGGCGGGGGGGCCGGGACUCGACGGGGCGGGGUGCGCGGAGGGUGGGGGAGAGGCUAUGUACACUGGGGUUCGCCUUCACACGACACACACCGUCUUUCUAAAAAGCAGCAGCCUGUUGGUUUUUUUUUCUUCCUUUUGAUCCUUUUUGCAAUGACCAUCCUAUUAAAUAAGUGUAGGCUUUUUUUUUUUUUUUGCGGUUCUUGUUCAUUUCCUGCCCGAGGGGGAGGGCUGGGGUGGGGC